AAAUUGAAGAGUUUGAUCAUGGCUCAGAUUGAACGCUGGCGGCAGGCCUAACACAUGCAAGUCGAACGGUAGCACAGAGAGCUUGCUCUCGGGUGACGAGUGGCGGACGGGUGAGUAAUGUCUGGGAAACUGCCUGAUGGAGGGGGAUAACUACUGGAAACGGUAGCUAAUACCGCAUAA
rnacentral:rRNA from 5 species